UCAGGGAUAAAUUCGCAGCCUGAGAGGGGGUGAGCUGACACUGUCCCAGCUGCCACCUAGACUCAGAGCUCCAUCCAGCUCUCCAGUGAAGACAUCCCAGCCAUGGCCAUGCAGAAAAUCUUUGCUCGGGAAAUCCUGGACUCCAGGGGCAACCCCACAGUGGAGGUGGACCUGCACACAGCCAAGGGCCAAUUCCAAGCAGCUGUGCCCAGUGGGGCUUCCACGGGUAUCUAUGAAGCUCUGGAACUAAGAGAUGGAAACAAAGCCCGCUAUCUGGGGAAAGGAGUCCUGAAGGCUGUGGAACACAUCAACAAGACUCUAGGCUCUGCUUUGCUGGAAAAGAAACUAAGUGUUGUGGAUCAAGAAAAAGCUGACAAAUUUAUGAUUGAGCUGGAUGGGACCGAGAAUAAGUCCAAGUUUGGGGCCAAUGCCAUCCUGGGCAUGUCCUUGGCCGUGCGUAAGGCGGGAGCAGCUGAGAAGGGGGGUCCCCCUGUACCGACACAUCGCAGAUCUCGCUGAGAACCCUGACCUCAUACUCCCAGUGCCAGCUUUCAACGUGAUCAACGGGGCCUCCCAUGCUGGAAACAAGCUGGCCAUGCAGGAGUUCAUGAUUCUGCCUGUGGGAGCCAGCUCCUUCAAAAGCCAUGCACAUUGGUGCUGAGGUCUACUACCACCUCAAGGGGGUAAUCAAGGCCAAGUAUGGGAAGGAUGCCACCAAUGUGGGUGAUGAAGGUGGCUUUGCACCCAACAUCCUGGAGAACAAUGAGGCCCUAGAGCUGCUGAAGACGGCCAUCCAGGCAGCUGGUUAUCCAGACAAGGUGGUGAUCGGCAUGGAUGUGGCAGCAUCUGAGUUCUAUCGCAAUGGGAAAUACGAUCUUGACUUCAAGUCACCUGAUGAUCCCGCACGGCGCAUCACUGGGGAGAAGUUCGGAGAGCUGUAUAAGAGCUUCAUCAAGAACUACCCUGUGGUCUCCAUCGAGGACCCCUUUGACCAGGAUGACUGGGCCACUUGGAUCUCGUUCCUCUCGGGAGUAGACAUCCAGAUUGUGGGGGAUGACCUGACAGUCACCAAGCCCAAGAGGAUUGCCCAGGCCAUUGAGAAGAAGGCCUGCAACUGUCUGCUGCUGAAGGUCAACCAGAUCAGCUGGGUGACUCAAUCGAUCCAGGCGUGCAAACUCACUCGGUCUAACGGCUGGGGAGUGAUGGUAAGCCACUGCUCUGGGGAGACUGAGGACACAUUCAUUGCUGACCUUGUGGUGGGGCUCUGCACAGGACAGAUCAAGACUGGCGCCCCCUGUCGCUCGGUGCGUCUGGCCAAAUACAAUCAACUCAUGAGGAUCGAGGAGGCUCCUGGGGACAAGGCUAUAUUUGCUGGACGGAAGUUCCGCAACCCGAAGGCCAAGUGAGAAGCUGGAGGCUCCAGGACUCCACUGGACAGACCCAGGUCUUCCAGACCUGCUUCCUGAAAUAAACACUGGUGCCAACCAA